rnacentral:sRNA from 1 species
CUCCCAAACCCCUGUGAACAUACCUAUCGUUGCUUCGGCGGAUCCGCCCCGGCGCCCUCGGGCCCGGAGCAGGCGCCCGCCGGAGACCCAAAACUCUUGUAUUUCUUUAGUAUCUUCUGAGUAAACAAGCAAAUAAAUUAAAACUUUCAACAACGGAUCUCUUGGUUCUGGCAUCGAUGAAGAACGCAGCGAAAUGCGAUAAGUAACGUGAAUUGCAGAAUUCCGUGAAUCAUCGAAUCUUUGAACGCACAUUGCGCCCGCCAGUAUUCUGGCGGUCAUGCCUGUUCGAGCGUCAUUUCAACCCUCAAGCCCCCGGGCUUGGUGUUGGGGCUCGGCCCGUCCCUUGUGGCGCGCCGUCCCCGAAAUCCAGUGGCGGUCACGCUGUACUCCUCUGCGUAGUAAUCCAACCUCGCUACGGGACAAAGCCUGGCCACGCCGUUAAACCCCCCACUUCUGAAGGUUGACCUCGGAUCAGGUAGGAAA